GAAGAAUUUCAUCUGAACUGUGACGAUGGAGUAACUUAUUAUAAGAGUGCAUCCGACUACAGCUAACGAUUUGAGGUUGACUGCAAUGGAGGCUACCAGCUGGUGUGCUGUUUCAUUCUCAGCAAUUGCAUUAUUUCUUCUUGCUGCGUGUUCGGUCUCAGCCCGCGUCUGCACCCUAGGCACGGAACCAGAUGAUUCGUCUGGCGGGAGGGUUCGGUUCGUCCUACCGCCCGGGGAUCCUUGUUCCUGUACCCGGAUCAAGUUGGGUGGUCACAACAUGUACGGAUCACCGAAGGAGGACGCACUCGUUUACAUCGACAACCUACCGAAGGACGCAGCGGCCCUCGGUCGACUGUUCGGCUGCUCUGACAAUAAUUCCG